rnacentral:ncRNA from 1 species
UUAAGGUAUGAAAGGAAAGAAUGUUAGCACUCCUCUUGACAAGGAUGGAGGGAACCUUGGGCUGACAUCACACAUUGCCAUCUACCUCAUGGCAUCUGACCAUCAUUA